rnacentral:snRNA from 1 species
GAGCUUCGGCAGCACAUAUACUAAAAUUGGAACAAUACAGAGAACAUUAGCAUGGUCCUUGCGCAAGGAUGACAUGCAAAUUUGUGAAGCGUUUCAUAUUUUU